rnacentral:lncRNA from 1 species
CGGAGGAGGAGACUGAAAAAUUGGAGAUGAGGUCGGAGCUUGCGGAGCUCGCUGAGAUCUGGCUGCGGAGGCCGUGGAUCGUCUGGUGGAUGCCUUUCGGAGAGGCAUCAGGUGGAGAUCUGGCAGGAGAAGGAGAAGAUGUCGGAGAAGAUGACCGGAGACAGUCCCGUUGAGCACUCCUUUUAGAACAAGGGUACUGCGAAGACACAGGCCAUCCUCCCUCUAGCACCAAUUCUGUUGGUGCAGAAUUUCAUCGGCAUCGAAGAAGCUGGAGUCGAGAUGGCCAUGGCUGCCAUCGGGACCUGCAAGGGAAGUCUAAACUGGAGUUGGGAGUGCUCCG